rnacentral:lncRNA from 1 species
CUUUUCAAAUAAGGUAGGUUUGGAGAUGUAACAUUGACGCUUUUUUUUUUUCUCUUUCUUUCUUCCGCUUAAUAAGGUAGGUUUGAGGAUGUGUAUUAGAAAUGAUGUUGGUCUAGUUUGUUCUUGCUAAAACGGAUUUGUUUGCUCCUCUGUGUGAUGUUGAUGUGGGGGAGGUCGUCGAGCUACAUACAACUUUGGAAUGAGUUUCAGAUCUUCAAUUCGACAACAUGGAUUUUGUUCUUGAUUCUAAAAAAAUUGUUGAUUCAAAUAUAGAUGAUAAUAGUGUGUUUGAUUGUAUUAUAUAUGCUUGUAGAUGAUAACUAAUACGCCGAGUUCAAUAGGUGGCAAACGAAUGGGGCCGCUUACGAGUCAGUUAAGACAGACCCGUUUAAUCCUAGCUCCCAUGUUCUAGAUAAUGUAUCCUCAUAUAUUUGACACAUUUUAGCUGAUGGAAUAAAAUGAAUUUCUUCCUUGAAAAAAAACAAACAUACCUUAGUUAGAUGCAGGAGAAAUUCCAUAACUUUCAUCAUAGAAUCCCUAUACUUAUUGUGAAUGAUAGUUUAUUCCCAUUUCACUCAACUAACUAAACAUUGAA